GAUGAACGCUAGCUACAGGCUUAACACAUGCAAGUCGAGGGGAAACGACAUCGAAAGCUUGCUUUUGAUGGGCGUCGACCGGCGCACGGGUGAGUAACGCGUAUCCAACCUGCCCAUCACUUGGGAAUAACCUUGCGAAAGUAAGACUAAUACCCAAUGACAUCCCACGAAGACAUCUGAAUGGGAUUAAAGAUUUAUCGGUGAUGGAUGGGGAUGCGUCUGAUUAGCUUGUUGGCGGGGUAACGGCCCACCAAGGCAACGAUCAGUAGGGGUUCUGAGAGGAAGGUCCCCCACAUUGGAACUGAGACACGGUCCAAACUCCUACGGGAGGCAGCAGUGAGGAAUACUGGUCAAUGGGCGAGAGCCUGAACCAGCCAAGUAGCGUGCAGGAUGACGGCCCUAUGGGUUGUAAACUGCUUUUAUAAGGGAAUAAAGUGGGUCUCGUGAGACUUUUUGCAUGUACCUUAUGAAUAAGGACCGGCUAAUUCCGUG
rnacentral:rRNA from 1 species